ACUACGGGCGGCAGCAGUGGGGGAUAUUGCACAAUGGGGGGAACCCUGAUGCAGCGACGCCGCGUGGGUGAAGAAGCGCCUCGGCGCGUAAAGCCCUGUCAGCAGGGAAGAAAAUGACGGUACCUGAAGAAGAAGCCCCGGCUAACUACGUGCCAGCAGCCGCGGUAAUACGUAGGGGGCAAGCGUUAUCCGGAUUUACUGGGUGUAAAGGGGGCGCAGACGGGGAUGCAAGCCAGGAGUGAAAGCCCGGGGCCCAACCCCGGGACUGCUCUUGGAACUGCGUGGCUGGAGUGCAGGAGGGGCAGGCGGAAUUCCUGGUGUAGCGGUGAAAUGCGUAGAUAUCAGGAGGAACACCGGUGGCGAAGGCGGCCUGCUGGACUGCAACUGACGUUGAGGCCCGAAAGCGUGGGGAGCAAACAGGAUUAGAUACCCUUGUAGUC
rnacentral:rRNA from 1 species